rnacentral:rRNA from 1 species
AUUGAACGCUGGCGGCAUGCCUUACACAUGCAAGUCGAACGGCAGCACGGGUGCUUGCACCUGGUGGCGAGUGGCGAACGGGUGAGUAAUACAUCGGAACAUGUCCUGUAGUGGGGGAUAGCCCGGCGAAAGCCGGAUUAAUACCGCAUACGAUCUACGGAUGAAAGCGGGGGACCUUCGGGCCUCGCGCUAUCGGGUUGGCCGAUGGCUGAUUAGCUAGUUGGUGGGGUAAAGGCCUACCAAGGCGACGAUCAGUAGCUGGUCUGAGAGGACGACCAGCCACACUGGGACUGAGACACGGCCCAGACUCCUACGGGAGGCAGCAGUGGGGAAUUUUGGACAAAGGGCGAAAGCCUGAUCCAGCAAUGCCGCGUGUGUGAAGAAGGCCUUCGGGUUGUAAAGCACUUUUGUCCGGAAAGAAAUCCUUGGCCCUAAUACGGUCGGGGGAUGACGGUACCGGAAGAAUAAGCACCGGCUAACUACGUG